UUCAGAAACACGAGAAGAGUCGCUUUCAAGAGGAGCAAGCACCAACAUGCCCAGAUUACGGGACUUCAAGUAGACUGUAACAGUGUUUAAAACAGGAAACUGAUCUUAACCACAGAGGAGUCUGGCGCGGCAAUGCAGCGAAUCAAGACUCUUCAGGGGAAUUAUUUCCAGCAGAAACCUUUAAACUUGAGCGAAUGGAGAUAAAUGAGGUCGUUGUGUACUGUAUGUAGCGGGCGCACGGCGGUUACGCGCGUUUGCGUGCAAUGUUCGGUCGUUAACGCUGCGCGGAUAAAGCAGUGAACGCUUCGCCGAUUCUCGUUUUUGUUUCACUCCGACCUUUAUUCAGAAUGAACCAGUGUAAAGUCAUGAAGGACGGCUAUCUGGAGAAGAGGAGUAAUGGAGUUCUGCAGCUGUGGAAGAAGAAGCGUUGCGUCCUGACGGAGGACGGGCUCCGGCUGUACGACUGUAAAGGAGAGAGCGGUAAAGAGAUGCACUUCGAGCAGAUGACCACGCUGGACUGCGUGGAGUAUAAACGGGGUCUGGUGUACUUCACCAUCGUGAUGGACGGCGGGAAGGAGAUUGACUUCAGGUGCCAGCAGGAGGGAACGGCGUGGAACGCGGAGAUCGCGCUCGCGCUCGUGCGCUUCAAAAACCGCGUCGCCGUUCAGACCGGCAGGAACAGACAUCUGUCACAUCUGGGCAGCUGCGGCGAAGGAGACGUCGAGCUCUGAGGGUAAAGACGACCCCAGAUGCAGGACCGGAUCCAAAAGAGAAGAACCCAUAGACAAGAAAGUGAAGAGUACUUUAAAACUCAUUUAUUUCUUUUCUUCUGUGCUUCCUCCAUUUAUCAAAGUGACACCUCUUGGCGUGCUCACAGACGCAGUGAAUGGAUUUGUACAUGUGGGUGUCACGCCAUGGAUGUUUUGUGCACUGGCGUUUUUCCAUGGCACUUUUAUUGCAGAAGUCAUCGGCAACAGAGACCCAGUGGAUUGCUCUUCACUAAAUCAAUGCUAAUUACACUCCUCACAACGCCAGAGUGGAUUUUGGCAUGGACUUUAUACUUUUAAGAGACAUAUUUACCUCGUGCUAAAUGGAGGACUCCCGUUCAGUAUUAUAAGUAAAAGCAUGACGCUGCUGUAGGAGACAUUAACCAUAGAUGAAGUAUGAUUUACAGCUGCAAUGUUUAACAUUUCAUAAGUAUUUGAAAAGCAAAUCUGGAUUCAUUCACUUGUAAAGGUUUUUAAACCACACAGAAAGCACGGCAGGCUGCUGUUCCUUGGAAUGAAUCCCGGCUAAACAGAAAACUUGAUGGAUGUGUUUUAAUUAGUUUUUCUCUGGGCAAUGCUGUUAUUACUACAAUUGUCUCCAUAUUCUGCCUGCAUAACUAGAGCGGCUGCCAAAGUUUGAAAUUAAUCAUCUGCAUUGUGAUGGGUAAAAAAGAUUAUAGAGGAAAUGUGUUCUGCACAUGUCUCAUUAUGCCAUUAGGUAAGCAUUGUCCAAAUAAAAAUGAUUUUUGAAAGACAUAUCGGUGAGAAUCUCUCUUAAUUAGUUUGUCGAGGCCCGAGGCGGCAGCAGGAUUUUGAAUGCUAAUUAGAAGCAGUGUUUUAGCUCUCAGUCGCUUUCUCAACUCUCAACCUCAAGUGUCUCUGCAGCACAUGCCCGGACAAUGGCCUCGCUGACUAAUAAUGUCCCGCCUUGCCUGCUUUCCCCAGCUGUCAGUUUAACAGUGAGACCAUCAAAGAAGUUGUCAAACAGGGCUUUGUUUUUCAUCUGGAUGAAUGUGUUUUGCUGUUGUGCAUAGUAAUCUGUGGAAGUGCAUGCAUUAACAAACUAAGGCGUGAAAGGAAGUGUAGUAUUAAUCUGAAACAUGCCACAACCGGUUUGGUAUCAUAAUAAAUGCCUAAAUUAAAUGACAGAAA